rnacentral:rRNA from 1 species
GACGAACGCUGGCGGCGUGCUUAACACAUGCAAGUCGAACGGAAAGGCCCUGCUUUUGUGGGGUGCUCGAGUGGCGAACGGGUGAGUAACACGUGAGUAACCUGCCCUUGACUUUGGGAUAACUUCAGGAAACUGGGGCUAAUACCGGAUAGGAGCUCCUGCUGCAUGGUGGGGGUUGGAAAGUUUCGGCGGUUGGGGAUGGACUCGCGGCUUAUCAGCUUGUUGGUGGGGUAGUGGCUUACCAAGGCUUUGACGGGUAGCCGGCCUGAGAGGGUGACCGGCCACAUUGGUACUGAGAUACGGCCCAGACUCCUACGGGAGGCAGCAGUGGGGAAUAUUGCACAAUGGGCGGAAGCCUGAUGCAGCAACGCCGCGUGCGGGAUGACGGCCUUCGGGUUGUAAACCGCUUUCGCCUGUGACGAAGCGUGAGUGACGGUAAUGGGUGAAGAAGCACCGGCUAACUACGUG